UAAAGCCAUUCCAAAGCUUCAUGCAAUACAAUUCUAGUCUGAUAAUUGUGUGUAGCCAUUAACUUUUAUCCAAAUUGAAAAGAAAAAGCAACUUUAUGUAGGAGCAAAAACCAGUUUCCUCCAUAUGAGUCAAAAUGAAGUCAUUCUGUCAUGGGAAGUGAGGUGCUUGUUACAUGGGAAAAUUAUCCCUUUUAGCCCAUCUCAGUCACUGCUAGGCUCAUUGCAGUAUCAAUGCCUUGAUUGUCCUGCAAUCUUCCCUGUAUGUCAGGAAGGUGGUGAGUAGUUGUUUCAUUCAUUGAAACAGUUAAAUUUGGAUAAAUUAUUUUUUGGAACUACCCAUAUGCCUUAGUCUGGAUAGUAUUUAUAGAUAAGACACAUUAUUAAUAGUGAAGAUUUUAUUUGACUAUUUUCUUAAACACAUUAUAUUUUCUUAAAGAAAAUUGUAAUCCCUCUUUAAAUCUCUUGUACUUUCUUGGCAGAACAAAGCUCACUCCCAACUAUGAAUGUCAGGCCUCUACCCUUCUGCUUACUGGUUUGGGCAGACACUGGUUGAAGUUCCAAUCUAUUGCUGGAUGCUUUCAUUCGUGUAUUUAAUGGAUUAUAUGUUAAACCUACAAGGGAAUAUAUUUAUAAGUGGAGAUCGCUUUGUUCAGAUCACCUUGAUUUCCACGUUCCUUUGAUGAUUAAUUGCUAUAGAUAAAUAGCAGUGUUUCCUGUCAGUUUCAUAAUUCUGCCUGCCACAUUGAUUGGUGUACAUUAUUACAUUUGGAGACUUUGGAUAUACAGUUGCCCAUAAAGAUUGAAAAAUGUCGCCUGUAUAGUAAGAAGAACGAAAGAAAGGCAAGAAACAAUGAUUGCUUAAUUCAGUAGUACUUCAAGCAGAAGCAAGAUACUGUUAAAAGGUAAGGGUUUGCCGAUGAAAGAUAGAAAUGAUAAUGAACUAUUAAUUGCCCAAUCUACUCAAGUGUAAGACUUGGAGAAUGAAAUAAUCUUGCAGCCACAUUGACAGCCAGAAGUCAAUUAGUAACGGAUUGCUUCGAUUUUAGAAUUUCCCCAAGCAGCAGCAGCAUGUGUCAAGAUCCAGAAGAACCGGAAGGAGAAUGUUCAGAUGGAAACAGUAAGCACAGCACAAGCCUUGACUGCCCAAACCUUGAGGAAGUAAAAUUUGCAAAGUAAUUAUUUUACCAAUAACAGAAAAUUCUGUCAGUUGAAAUAAACUGCCUACCAAUCUGUUUCUGAAAUGGUGACGUGUUGCUUUGUUUCAGCAGAUCUAAAGCCUUUUGGUCUAGGGUCCAUUUAUACUCUUAAAUAUUGUUGAAGGCUAUAACGGCCUUUGGUUUAUACGGGCUAAAUCUUUCAAUAUUUACCGUAUUGGACGUAAAACCAAGAAAUGUUUAAAAUAUGCACUUAUUAUUAAAUUAAAAAUGAAAAUAACAAUCCCAUUGCCUGUUAACAUAAAUAACAUUUUCCAUAAAGCAACUUUAUUUAAAAAAAAAAAAAUUAGUGGGGA